CCUACGGGUGGCAGCAGUAGGGAAUAUUGCUCAAUGGGGGAAACCCUGAAGCAGCAACGCCGCGUGGAGGAGGAAGGUUUUCGGAUUGUAAACUCCUUUUGUUAGAGAAGAUAAUGACGGUAUCUAACGAAUAAGCACCGGCUAACUCCGUGCCAGCAGCCGGGGUAAUACGGAGGGUGCAAGCGUUACUCGGAAUCAAUGGGCGUAAAGGGCGCGUAGGCGGGAUAGCAAGUCAGAUGUGAAAUCCUAUGGCUUAACCAUAGAACUGCAUUUGAAACUGUUAUUCUAGAGUAUGUGAGAGGUAGGAGGAAUUCUUGGUGUAGGGGUAAAAUCCGUAGAGAUCAAGAGGAAUACUCAUUGCGAAGGCGACCUGCUAGAACAAAACUGACGCUGAGGCGCGAAAGCGUGGGGAGCAAACAGGAUUAGAUACCCCUGUAGUC
rnacentral:rRNA from 1 species